CAACCAUCAAGCCCCCGGCUUGUGUUGGGGACCUGCGGCUGCCGCAGGCCCUGAAAACCAGUGGCGGGCUCGCUAGUCACUCCGAGCGUAGUAAUACAUCUCGCUCAGGGCGUGCUGCGGGUUCCGGCCGUUAAAAGCCUUAUUUACCCAA
rnacentral:misc_RNA from 1 species